rnacentral:rRNA from 1 species
UACAGAGGGGGCAAGCGUUGUUCGGAAUUACUGGGCGUAAAGGGCGCGUAGGCGGCCUUCUAAGUCGAACGUGAAAUCCCCGGGCUCAACCCGGGAACUGCGUCCGAUACUGGAAGGCUUGAAUCCGGGAGAGGGAUGUGGAAUUCCAGGUGUAGCGGUGAAAUGCGUAGAUAUCAGGAGGAACACCGGUGGCGAAGGCGGUUCUCUGGGCAUUACCUGACGCUGAGGAGCGAAAGUGUGGGGAGCGAACAGG